UACGUAGGGGGCCAGCGUUGCUCGGAAUUACUGGGCGUAAAGGGUCCGUAGGCGGUGUGGCAAGUCGGGAGUGAAAUCUCUGGGCUUAACCCAGAGGCUGCUUCCGAAACUGCUGUGCUAGAGUGUGAGAGAGGCGAGUGGAAUUGCGGGUGUAGCGGUGAAAUGCGUAGAUAUCCGCAGGAACAUCCGAGGCGAAAGCGGCUCGCUGGAUCACAACUGACGCUGAGGGACGAAAGCUAGGGGAG
rnacentral:rRNA from 1 species